GUGAAACCGCGAAUGGCUCAUUAAAUCAGUUAUGGUUCACUAGACAGUACCUCAUCCUACUCGGAUAACUGUGGUAAUUCUAGAGCUAAUACAUGCAACUAGGCCCCGCCCGGCGUGCUGUGCUCGUCGCGGUACGUCGGAAAGGGCGCCAUUAUCAGCCCAAAACCGACCGGGUCGCUUCCCUUCCCUUCACCGGGUUGUGGAAUGCUCCCGUCCUUAUACCCUUUGACGACUCUGGAUAACCUGUCAGCGGAUCGCUGGGUAACUAGGUCUCCGGUGGGUAUAGGGUUAAGGGGUUUUCCAACUCCUUUUCCCGCCUGCCGGUCAUGACCUACAGCGACCAGUCUUUCAAAUGUCUGCCUUAUCAACUGUCGACGGUAGGUUAGACGCCUACCGUGGUCGUAACGGGUGACGGGGAAUCAGGGUUCGAUUCCGGAGAGGGAGCCUGAGAAACGGCUACCACAUCCAAGGAAGGCAGCAGGCACGCAAAUUACCCAAUCCCAGCACUGGGAGGUAGUGACGAAAAAUAACGAUACGGGACUCUUAACGAGGCCUCGUAAUCGGAAUGAGUCCGCUCUAAAUCCUUUAACGAGGAUCUAUCGGAGGGCAAGUCUGGUGCCAGCAGCCGCGGUAAUUCCAGCUCCGAUAGCGUAUAUUAAAGUUGCUGCGGUUAAAAAGCUCGUAGUUGGAUUUGGGUUUUCGGGCCGGCAGGCCGCCGCCUUCGAGCGGCGCGUUUCCCGCCGCGCCCCCGGAACCGCACGGUCGCAGAGGCCCCCGCGGUGCUCUUCAGUGAGUGUCCGCGGUCUCGGGUCGCCGAACGUUUACUUUGAAAAAAUUAGAGUGCUCCAGGCAGGCCGGAUAAAGCGUUUUUAAACACCGCGCCUGAAUAGUCACGCAUGGAAUAAUGAAAGAGGACCGGUGGUCCUAUUUUGUUGGUUUUAAGGAUUUUCCGCCGUCAUGAUUAAGAGGGACGGCCGGGGGCAUUCGUACCGCGGCGCGAGAGGUGAAAUUCUAGGACCGUCGCGAGACGAACCGUUGCGAAAGCAUUUGCCAAGAAUGUUUUCCUUAAUCAAGAUCUAAAGUCAGAGGUUCGAAGGCGAUCAGAUACCGCCCUAGUUCUGACCGUAAACGAUGCCACCUGACGAUCCGCCAGGGUUACUACCAUGACUCGGCGGGCAGUCCCCGGGAAACCCAAGCCUUCGGGUUCCGGGGGAAGUAUGGUUGCAAAGCUGAAACUUAAAGGAAUUGACGGAAGGGCACCACCAGGAGUGGAGCCUGCGGCUUAAUUUGACUCAACACGGGGAACCUCACCCGGCCCGGACACCGCGAGGAUUGACAGAUUGAGAGCUCUUUCUCGAUUCGGUGGGUGGUGGUGCAUGGCCGUUCUUAGUUGGUGGAGCGAUUUGUCUGGUUAAUUCCGAUAACGAACGAGACUCUAGCCGGUUAAGUAGCCCGAGCGGUUUUUGAUCUUUGCCGUUCAUCCUCGUUCGACCUUCCCGUGCGUCCGGCCUUUUUUUUUUGCGUUGUCUUUUUUUUCCUUUUUACCUGKGGCUGCGUUUUCCUUUUUUCUUCCUUCCUUUUUCCCUUUUGUUGUUUCUCUUUUUUUCCGUGCGUUUCCGUUCUCGGUCGUCGUCGUGCGCGCCUUUUUAUUCCGUCUCGGCGGUUGAAAGGGUGGCGGCGGUGGCGGUCAUUGCGGAACAUGCGGUCGAGGAGGAAUCGCAGGGGGUUAGGGUCGGGGAGAGAGGGAGGCCACCAUGGGUUCUUGGAUGGGAUUUCGCAAAAUUUGGUUGGUGCGUACGCAGGCUCGUUACGGGGUGAAGCAUAACCGAAGGCCGCCGGCUUUUAAGGAAGCUUCUUAGAGGGACGAGCGGCGUUCAGCCGCCCGAGAUUGAGCGAUAACAGGUCUGUGAUGCCCUUAGAUGUCCGGGGCCGCACGCGCGCUACACUGAAGGGUUCAGCGUGCUAGUUUCUCCCGGGCCGUCAGGCUCGGGGAACCCGUUGAAACCCUUUCGUGCUAGGGACAGGGACUUGCAAUUGUGUCCCUCCAACGAGGAAUUCCCAGUAAGCGCGAGUCAUCAGCUCGCGUUGAUUACGUCCCUGCCCUUUGUACACACCGCCCGUCGCUACUACCGAUUGAACGAUUUAGUGAGGUCUUCGGACCGGUGGUCGUUCCGCGAUCGGGUUUCGGGCUAGGGGUCUUCGGACCCUUACCUGCCCGCGCGGGGUCGGCCGGCCGGGAAGAUGCCCGAACUUGAUCGUUUAGAGGAAGA
rnacentral:rRNA from 1 species